rnacentral:rRNA from 1 species
UCGAGAAUCUCCGGCAAUGGGCGCAAGCCUGACCGAGCGACGCCGCGUGGAGGACGAAGGCCUUCGGGUUGUAAACUCCUGUCGAGGGGGAGGAAGGCGCAAGCUUGACCGAUCCCUGGAGGAAGCACGGGCUAAGUUCGUGCCAGCAGCCGCGGUAAGACGAACCGUGCGAACGUUAUUCGGAAUCACUGGGCUUAAAGCGCGUGUAGGCGGGCCGCCACGUCAGAUGCUGAAAUCCCCCGGCUCAACCGGGGAAGUGGCUCUGAUACGAGCGGCCUGGAGGGAGGUAGGGGGGGCUGGAACUUCCGGUGGAGCGGUGAAAUGCGUUGAGAUCGGAAGGAACGCCCGUGGCGAAAGCGAGCCCCUGGACCUUUUCUGACGCUGAGACGCGAAAGCUAGGGGAGCGAACGG